CCCGCGGCUGGCGGCCUGGUGCGCAGGCGUAGCAGAGACAUCAUCGACUGUCGUUGAGCUCAACGCGGACUCGCGCUGAGUCUAUGGUUACUUAUAGCCCCGGUGGGCUCAGGUCACUUUAGUGGAGCCCCGGUGAUGACGUCAGAGGUAACGCAGCCAAUCCCCCCACCAUUGCUGUACUGCUUAUUUGCAUGAGGGAGUUCGAUUGGUUGGAAUGGCUCAGUGGUCUGAGUUUGAUCCGACUCAUGCAUGAACAGUUCCUUCCUAUCCCUACCUCACUUGGCCCAACUGUUAGGGCUGCCUGCUCGUUUGUGCAUGGAGCCAGCACUGCUGGGGAAACUGAGGCCAAGGGAUAGGAAACAAUAGACGUGAGCUGCGUGAAUCAAAGCGCUUCAUCUAGUGUUGAGGCUUUGAGGAGACAAUUGUCGAGGGGUUUGAAUUCCUAGAGACCGGAGAGUUGCCCUUGAGUCUUUCAUUGAAUGAAGUACGUCGUUCGUCGUGGAGGCAAAGAGUUUGUCACCGUCGAAGGGAAGAUCUUCAAUGGUAUUCUGGACCUCUCGAGGAAAGGAAGAGGAGGAGAGCCAUGAACCUCAGCGCAUGACCACUCCUGUAGCAGUGGAUCUUGCUGCAAUGUUGGCUGCAUCGAGGGCGGUUUGAAGAGCGGUACGUGAGAUGAUCUGUCCCUCAGAAACUAGAGCCGUGAAUAGUUUUUUCUU